GUUGGGGAUCAAAUUGGAAAAGUAGCAGAAGAGCUUGGGUUGGAAAUUCUAAAUACAGUGGAGGGUCUUGGAUUAAGUGAUGUUGUAAUGAACGUUUUAUGCAGUGUGUUGGGGGAAACACUUAAAACAUUGAGCCAGUCUCUGGCAGGCUUGAAUUUGAAUGUUGGAGGUGUUGUUGCAGGUGGUGUUGGCGGUGGUGUUCUGGGAGGAUUACCACUAUUAGGAUGAAG